rnacentral:rRNA from 1 species
UACAGAGGGGGCAAGCGUUAUUCGGAAUUAUUGGGCGUAAAGGGCGCGUAGGCGGCCUGGCAAGUGGAAGGUGAAAUCCCUCGGCUUAACCGAGGAACUGCCCUCCAAACUGCUUGGCUUGAGUCCGGGAGAGGUGAGUGGAAUUCCCAGUGUAGCGGUGAAAUGCGUAGAUAUUGGGAGGAACACCAGUGGCGAAGGCGGCUCACUGGACCGGAACUGACGCUGAGGCGCGACAGCGUGGGGAGCAAACAGG